rnacentral:rRNA from 1 species
AGCGAACGCUGGCGGCAUGCUUAACACAUGCAAGUCGCACGGGCAGUAGCAAUACUGUCAGUGGCGGACGGGUGAGUAACGCGUAGGAAUCUAUCCUUGAAUGGGGGACAACCGUGGGAAACUACGGCUAAUACCGCAUGAUGCCUGAGGGCCAAAGACGAAAGUCGUUUGAGGAGGAGCCUGCGUCUGAUUAGGUAGUUGGUGGGGUAAAGGCCUACCAAGCCCUACGAUCAGUAGCUGGUCUGAGAGGAUGAUCAGCCACAUUGGGACUGAGACACGGCCCAAACUCCUACGGGAGGCAGCAGUGGGGAAUAUUGGACAAUGGGCGCAAGCCUGAUCCAGCAAUGCCGCGUGGGUGAAGAAGGUCUUCGGAUUGUAAAGCCCUUUUGGCGGGGACGAUGAUGACGGUACCCGCAGAAUAAGCUCCGGCUAACUUCGUG